AGCAGCAUUGAGGUGAAAUCUUCAGGGAAGUGUUUCCUCAGGGUCAGCACACAGAAUCUGUGUUCCAGAGGCAACCAAGGUUCUACCUUCUAUUGGCGGCAGAACUUGAUGGUCUGAGAGUCUCCCAGGUGGUAUGGGCAUGAAGGGGUCAUAGAGAGCAGCUGAGGCUUGGCACUGUUAGGACUGUUAGGCUAGGCUGGAGUCCCUGAAGAGAGCUCAGGAGAGGCUACUGAUGAAAGUGUAGCCCAGCUUCGGCAGGGUAUUCCGGAACUUUGGAGAUGCCACACAAUGGGAUGACCCUCAAGAACAGCAGUAGCUAUGGAAUGGAUUCCCCCCCAGAGCUUAGUAGAUGAGCUGUGUGUGCUGCAGACGGUGGAGCUGUAGAAGUGUCCCAAAGCCCUUUGGAGGAGCCCAGAAGAUGGUUCCCUUCUCAUCACCUCUUAAGAGACCAGCCUGGAGAACUCAAUAGGGUCUAUCCGUGGAGCAGAAAUUUAGAGCAAAUCUUGGCGACAAGGUUCUGAACUGGAUUAAGUGCCAAGUGUGACCUCGUUUACAGCAACUUGGGAGGCCCCUGAUAAGUCCAAGCCUCUCCCCUUAACUGACCUGGCUGGAACUUUUGACACACGGAUGACAAAAUGGGUGCAAUUAGUUGGAGAUAUUAAUGGGUUCUGUCACGUAAAGUAUUUGUAACAAAGCUUUUCCUUGAAUUCCAAGCUGAGAGUUUUGACUCCUGGAGCCAAAGAAUCCUUUGUUCUGGGGAUUACAUCAUGGAACUAUUUUUAGAGGCCAAGUCUGCUCCAGGGGACUGGGGUUACGGCUGCCUUUGCCUUUCUGCCUCCUAACUCCCGAUCCUGUGUGCUGCUCGUCCACCCCUCUUCUUCCCAGAGCUGAGUGCAUGGCUGGCAUGACCAGAGAGAAGUGAAGACCUCAUGAGGGCCACCUGGGGUGUAGAUGGCACCUCUGGGUGGCUCCAGAGGGGUGAGGACAGGGACUAUCUAUCACAAGACCAUAACCCAUGCAGAAAAUGUUUUACAGUAUCUGAAACCCACAGCCAGGAGUUUGGAGAGAUGGGGGAGACUUCGCCCUCUCCUGUCCAGCUGAAACAGGUUGUAUCCAGUUCAACUUUAAGGGAGCACAAAAGCCAAUUACGUGGACUUUUCCUUGCACCCUCAUGGACACCUUCAGUCUCUAUUUGCAAGAUGGCUUCUUACGGAGGCAAGACCUGACUGGAAAGGACAGGCCUACAAACAGAAGAUCACCUCCUCUCCUCAGCCACAGGUGAACAGGUCUAACUUCGUCUGCCCACUUUGCCUCCCUCAAAGUGAUCCUCUAUCCACAGAAGCAGGCCCGAAUACUGUGCUGCUGAAGAAACCAAGGACCAGACAGCUACGUCACUUCCCCAAGUUGUUGGAAGAGCAAGCAGACUAUUCCCAGCUUUGACUGCAGUGUUCUUUCCAGUAAGUGCAGCAGGCUGCCCCAGCUGGAAGGGAGGAGUUCUAGGAAAAGGCUGCUUUAGAGGGAGAAGAUUCCAGCUUUGGCCUAGCUUGACCUACCUUAGGGACCGGCGCAGUUGGGUCACACCUUUCAGCAGUCUGGGAUAUCUUCCCCCUUGCUGGACAAUGGUUACCAUUCCCAUGUUCUCACUUAUGUCUUGGGGGAUAGACAUGAAACCCCAGGAGCAUACAGAUUUCUGGUACAGGACUGCCCAUGCGCAUACUGCACCUUUGUGUGAAUUAGCCGACGGCACCUCCUUCAGGCAAACAGUGCCAGAGCACAUUGUACAACCAGAGGGAGGCACCCUGGGCACAUUCUACAUGCUAAGGUGCCCCAGUGUAAGACCAUCAGAGAACGUAACAUGGACCCCAUCAUUUUGUAGAGAGUCAGAGGAAGCACCCAUGGGAAGGAGGAAGGGGCUCUUCCACAUAACCAGCUGGGAUGAGGAAUUCACUCUCUCUGUUCUCUCAGAGUUCUCAGAGAACGAACGGGAUCUACCACCUCCUUCCCUACACAGGAAAUCUCUGCUUCCCCUACCCUAGGAAGAAACAAGAAUAGGGUCAUCAGGAGAGGAACUCUGUGUCCCAAAGCAAAGUGCUUUUAUUGCUGCAAAUGAAUGUCUUAAAAAAAAGGGGGGGGGGAUGGGUGGAUGGGGCCUGGGCUCCUUGGGAGUUGGGUCUGUCUGUCAGUCUCUAUGCAUUGAGAUAGCAGUAGGACUAUGGAUGAAGUGUGGACAGGCCUGUGGGGUACAUAGAAACACCUCCCUCUUUGGUUUAGAGAGGGGGGUACCUGGGUCAGCAGAGCCCCUUCAUUGGCCAUCCAAGUGCUGAACACAAGAGGUGAUGAAGACAGGAGGCUGUUCCCCUAAUUUUCUUAUUGUGUAAAUUCCUGAUUUUUUUUAAACUGUCUCCAAAGAACAUAAACUGAUGUAGGGGCUGAGCCAAGCUUAAGUUCGUUGGAAAAAUAAAGAAAUUUUUGGAUUUUUGUGCCAAA